rnacentral:lncRNA from 1 species
AAACGAAUUCUAUGGAAAUGAUUUACCGCUCGUUAGAGAGCGAGCGAAUGGUUUGUCUGGUUUCUCCGGUGAAGAGAGAGAGAGAGAGAGAGAGGAGAGGAAAAGAAAAAGGGGAAAAAUUAAUUCCCGCGACGCUUCCACAAAAGAAAUGGGAAGGAAAAAUUACAAAGAGAAUUUUAAUGCUCCGGCUGUAAAAAAUUGUUAUUACGAGUUUUGCAAGCUGUAAAAAUAAAUUUAAUCUCUUCUUAGCCUAGUUCCUCUCGCGUGCGCGUGCGCGUUCGACGCGAAACGACGUUCGUGCGAGGCGAUUAUUUAACAACGAAUUUAAGACGUGAAAUCGAGGCACGGAUCGAUUCGAGUCGUUACAAAUAUAAAACGCGACGUGUCGGCUACGAGCCAACCUCCCAUUCAUCCGUUUAACGAACGAACAAAAAUGUGUUACAACCAGCCAUUUUAUGUAACGAAGACACAGAGAGAGAGAGAGAGAGAGGAAGAGAGAGAGAGAAAGAUAAGAAGCAGAGAGAAGGAAAGCAAAGGGAGGUCAAAAGAAACGGUUACAAAGACGGACGCGCGGGUUCGAGGCGGCUAGUUAAUGCCGGACAUUAAAAGGAGAGACAAAAGACAAAACAACGGCACGAGUUUUAAUAAGGCGGAGUACGGGAUUGGCCGGCCAGUUGGCUUCAAUCAAGUCCCCGCGAUCUUCUUCUCCGCGCCAUCUCCACGAGGCCUUUGCCCAUACCUUUUCCUCCCAUCUACAUGCGAGUCGACGAAUUAAAACGUCUCCAACCACGGGAGACGUUAUGAAUUAUCAUUACCAUCCUCCUCCUCGCACUUUCUCGCUUUUGUUCUCUCGAAAAAAAUUCAACUCCGCCAAUCACGGCUCAAUUUUUUAUCAUUGAACAAGAUCAACGGCACUUUACUCGAACGACAAUUCUCGAAGAGCACAAUUUAUACACAGUUUCAAAGAUAGAACGGAUACCGACUCCGUCAUCGAUCGAGUAAAUUCUUUCUCUUGUUCUUCCAUCCAAUCGAAAGAGAAUUCGAUUAAAUUGAGAUUCGAUUAAACUAAUCCUAAUCUUUCCUUUCGCAGGUUCGAGGACAAUGCACACGUCCCUUUUUUAUAAAUCGUUAAUCACCGCAAUCGAUUCGUUCGGUUCAUCGAAACAAUCGUUAUUCAACGUGGCUUCGAGUUGGCUUCGUCUAAUUCUUUCUUUUUAUUAUUUCGUCCCCUUGGAAAGAAAACGGGUUCGAGAGUUCGGGUGGCGGAGGUAGGGCAGCAGAGCACGAGGAAAAGAAGAAAUCCGGGCUGCUCUGACGGGAAGAAAAACAUCGAUAAAAGCCGGGCUGGUAGUAACACUAGUGUCAGAAGAGGUUGGAGGAUCCGGGCCAGACCCAUUGGCGUAGACCGCGUCCUUUUUUUUUUCUUCUCUCUAGGCUUCGAUCGAUUUUCCUCGUACCGCUUGGUAAACGACGACGACAACAAACUUCUUUCGUCUCUUCCCCCCUAUCCUCGAGAAAGCUAUUAAAUUCGAACGACAAAAGUUUCGAUCCGUUUUCCCUCUCGGUUUUUGCCACACAAGAAAAUUUCUUACGCAACUUUUUCGAUACGUAAUGGAUAAUUUAAUUGAAACAAUUUGAUUUUGCAACGUGAUUCUAGCUAAUUAUAGAUAUUAUUAAAAAAGUGAAAAAUAAAGCGAGAGAAAUUAGGAGAAUCGUCGUAAAUUUCACGAAGGACACGAAGCGAUUAAUAAUUAUCAUUUCUCGAUAAGGAACAAUGGUAACAAUUAGAGUUUACGACUUCCUGCGCCAUUGGAGGUUCCUUACGGAUUAACGGAACUCCCACGCGGUCUGUACACGAUGUCUUUCGAGGCAAGUUCACGAAGUCGUGCCGUUUCCACACACACGAGCGCCCUAAGUACGCCCCCUGGCUGCCAAUGCCUUGUCAAUGGAAUAUCAAUAAAGCGUGUAUAUACGAGGAACGCUCGUGGCGCCGCCGCUUCACACGGCACGACCGAUUAUUUCUCCCGCUUUCUCGCCUCCUGAAAAACGAUUCCUACGAAAACUAACACGAUCGAUUCUUUCUUCGCGAAUAAGAAAGACUUCUCCGUUUUAUCCUAGCUGUUGGUGUUUCGUGGGUUUAACGAGAAAGAGUUGCUCGAAGAGAAUAACCUCACUUAGGGAGAAGUAAGAAAAAUAUGAAUAUGAAGCGAAAUUAUACCGAACGUAAAUAGAGGACGGUAUGAAACAAGGCCGUAAAAUGAGCUGUAGCUCUCUCAGGAGAGAGAAAGAGAGAGAGAGAGAAAUUAAGUUUCAUAAAGCACAAGCUGGUUAUAAUGAUAUUUGUUGGAGAGAAGAGGCGUUUAAUUUAUUCCACCGCGACAAUGCCGCGGCGUACGUAAAAAAUCUAAACCUCCCUCCCUCCCUCCCUUCCACCCCCCAUCGGCCGACCAACGACUUCCCAUUAAUUUUUAACGAAGACUAAUAAUUUUUAAUAAGGCGUAAUAACGGUAAUAAAUAUUAAUUGCUGUGUCCUCGAUGGGACACUUGAAAAAUCGUGCCCCGCCCCGCUGUAUCCCUCUAUAUAUCGAGAUAAAAUAAGAAUGAGAAUUUUUCGAUCGCGACGAAACAGAGAAAGGGAGAAGCGCGAAGAGGUGGCGAGACAGAUGGUUUCCAGGACGGUUAUUUUUUUCGUUGCGUUAUUCUUUAAUAAUGUCACGCGUAUGGGUGUGGUAUAAUAAUUGCAAAUGUAUGCACUGGUGCAAUUACACGUGACAAAAAAAAAAAAAAGGACGUGAUAUGAAAAAAAAAUUUCAAAAAUUAACGCGCAACAUUAUUCUAAAAUGUUGUUUGCAAAUUAAGUCGUCGUAAGUGUACAUAAUGAGAAUGAGGAUUAAAAUUUCGCGACACGUUCUUUAUCGUAUAAAUUCUUUCAAAGUCAAUAAAGAUCGUUUCGAAUGUAUCGUUCCUCGUACGAAUAGAAUUUUUUUCUUUUUUCCCGUUUCGUCUCGUAGGAAUCUUGGCGGGCAAACCGGAAAUUACGCGCAAGUUAUAAAGUCGCGCGUGUCGCCGAUUAUAUCGACGAUUAAUCGUAAAUAUGCGCGUUGGACGAUCACGACGUAAGAAUAUCGUAAGAAAAAUGCCGUCAUAUACUAGAAUUGCUAAUAGAAACGAGGUAAUAUCUGGGCUGGCAAUAUAUAUAUAUAUAUAUGUACGCGUAUUCCGGUAUCCAACGUUGCCGCUUAUCGAAAACCUUCAUCUAAAAACUCUUCUCCCGUAAUUAAUGAUCCCAGAUAAAUUUUCCAUUGGCAUCGACGCGAGAAAAUGCGAGCUUUAUACGCGUGGAAGAGACAAAAAUCUCUUGAUUCUAGCUAACCUGCCCUUGAUACAUUCUUUUUCAUGUGUAUAACAAACGUGUACAUUGUUGACGAUGGAAUUGAAAUGUGAAAAAAUACGAGAAAGGAAAAAAAUCCAACGGAUAUGUGGAAAACAUCGUUUCGUUCGUUGGAUCGAUAAAAAAUUAUAGAAAUGCGUCGCGACGUCGAAAAACUCGGUGCUCGAUUUACGAGCGAUCGGAUGAAAAAUGUUUAAGCCGGUAAUGCCGUUCGAGGAAUAGUAGAGGUAUACUUUUCUUGGGGGAGUGGAGAGAACGAUACAAGCCCAAGAUUGUAAAAAAAUCUAGGGUCAACCGAGGCCGUAAAUCUUCAGUCGUAGAUACACGUGUGGAAAGAAUGAAAACGAAUCAUGCACAACCCCGACACAACCUUUCGUUACAAUGUUCCUUUGGGAACGGUUCGAGCAACCAUCUCGUCGAACAACAAUAGUUCGCGUGAAGUAAUUUUACGACAGCAAGCAAAAAACUUUAUUACCAAAGCUUUCUCGAUAAACUGAGAAACUAUCUUAUCGACGAAUUUAUCGCGCCCACUGUUUAAUCCUGUCGGCUUGCUACCGAUUACGUUCUUAUUUACUCGCGUUAGUCAACUUUAAACUUUUGCGUUAGUCAACGUGAUUUACGUCACGUAAAUUUUGUUUCUACAAAUUUUUACAGUUCGACGACUCGUUCGAGCUCUUACCAUGCGCGUUUCAAAUUAUCGCGACGACAGUUUCGACGAUAAAACGAUAAAACUUAACCUUACUUGGUUUUUCGAAAAAUUAUAUUCUUUCCAUAAAAGACAAAACGAUCGAAAUAAUUUUCAAACUUUGGACGAUCCGUCCAGAUUUUUUUGCGCAAGAAUAUAACAUCGACGAUCGCGCGUGCAGCAUUUCCGACGAGGUUAGAAAGUCCUACCACACCGAUACCUGUUGCCUUGGCUUCCGGCUAAAAGCAUCUAGUGGAAUUUUGAUUACGAGCAAACAACUGUCAAUGAUGAAACAUUGAACGCGUGAACGAUAUAAUUAAUUAUUUUCCCACGUGGAGAACUAUGGAAAUAAUAAACAAUAUUUCUUCAUAUUUUUUUUAUCUAUCGUACGAGAUGAAAAAUUUCACAUUAUAGACAGACAUAAAGUAUCCAGGAGGGUACUAAAGAAAAGAAAAAGAAAGUUUCUCGUUGCUUCGCAAUGAUUCAAAAUUACGGAGAAUGUCGUGCAUAUAAACAAAACGAGUGAAAGUCUUUCGAAAAGGUGCACGUGUCUGUCCGUUAAUCGUAUCAUUUGACCGAGUCUAAUUUCGAAAUAAAACGGAGGAAUAUCGUUUGCGAUCUAAUAACGCGACAAAAAAUUUAAAAAAUUGUAAAAAUAUUCCAUAAAUCAUUU